UACGUAGGGGGCAAGCGUUGUCCGGAAUCAUUGGGCGUAAAGCGCGUGUAGGCGGCUUUGCAAGUCGGGUGUGAAAGCCCUCGGCUCAACCGAGGAAGUGCGCCCGAAACUGCAGAGCUUGAGUACCGGAGAGGAUGGCGGAAUUCCCCAAGUAGAGGUGAAAUUCGUAGAUAUGGGGAGGAACACCGGUGGCGAAGGCGGCCAUCUGGACGGAUACUGACGCUGAGACGCGAAAGCGUGGGGAGCAAACAGGG
rnacentral:rRNA from 1 species